AAGAUUUUGAAGAUGUGGUUGGCAGAAGAGUCAGAGUGAGAGAAGGGCGAGGCACAUCAGUGCGGAGUCACAGCUACCUCUGCACUUCCCUGAGCCCCUGAAUGAGGGAUUGUUUGUGCAACUGGGAAUCGGAGCUUCUCCUGUGUGUCAUGUGCAGUUUGGGCUGCACCCGCCCUGCCUGCUGGGCCUGUAGGGUGUGUAGGUUAUGUCGAAACAAGACUGCACCCAGACACUACCCUAGGCCUCAGGCACCCUGGGAGUUCUGCUGUGUCAGGGACCCGGCGCUGCAAUCUUUUUGUCUUCCAAAUGAGACCUGGGUCUUGCUCUGUCAUCCAGGCUGUAGUGCAGUGGCAUGAUCUCAGUUCACUGCAGCCUCGACCUCCCCGGCUCAAGCAAUCCUCCCAUCUUGGUCUCCUGAGUACCUAAGACUACAGGUCUGUGUGACCAUGCCCAGAGGCGGAGGCUGCGGCGAGUUCCUGAGUUUUCUCCACAGGCUCCACAGGCUCCCAGUACUCCACAAAGACCACUGGUUCUCGGACUUAGGUAUGAAUCAGAAUCAACUGUGGAAUCCUGAAGAUGCUCAGGCUCACCAAGGGCCUGAAUUUCAAGGGAUGAGGCUGAGUUGUGUGCAUUUCAAAUAAGUAAUUGUUAUUUGUGCUAAAGUUUUAGGAUCUCUUGUUUAAAUAGACCAUAAUAAAUUCCAACCUGGGCAACAUUAGUCCAUUCUCACAUUACUACAAAGAACUACCUGAGACUGGGUAAUUUAUGGAAAAAAGAGGUUUAAUUGACUCACAGUUCCAUAGUCUGUACAGGAAGCAUGGUUAGGAGGCCUCAGG
rnacentral:lncRNA from 10 species